AACGAACGCUGGCGGCAGGCCUAACACAUGCAAGUCGAGCGCGCCCUUCGGGGUGAGCGGCGGACGGGUGAGUAACGCGUGGGAACGUGCCCUUUUCUACGGAAUAGCCUCGGGAAACUGAGAGUAAUACCGUAUACGCCCUUUGGGGGAAAGAUUUAUCGGAAAAGGAUCGGCCCGCGUUGGAUUAGGUAGUUGGUGGGGUAAUGGCCUACCAAGCCGACGAUCCAUAGCUGGUUUGAGAGGAUGAUCAGCCACACUGGGACUGAGACACGGCCCAGACUCCUACGGGAGGCAGCAGUGGGGAAUCUUAGAAAAUGGGGGCAACCCUGAUCUAGCCAGGCCGCGUGAGUGAUGAAGGCAUUAGGGUUGUAAAGCUCUUUCAGCUGGGAAGAUAAUGACGGUACCAGCAGAAGAAGCCCCGGCUAACUCCGUG
rnacentral:rRNA from 1 species